rnacentral:rRNA from 1 species
AAAUUGAAGAGUUUGAUCAUGGCUCAGAUUGAACGCUGGCGGCAGGCCUAACACAUGCAAGUCGAACGGUAACAGGAAGAAGCUUGCUUCUUUGCUGACGAGUGGCGGACGGGUGAGUAAUGUCUGGGAAACUGCCUGAUGGAGGGGGAUAACUACUGGAAACGGUAGCUAAUACCGCAUAACGUCGCAAGACCAAAGAGGGGGACCUUCGGGCCUCUCGCCAUCGGAUGUGCCCAGAUGGGAUUAGCUAGUAGGUGGGGUAACGGCUCACCUAGGCGACG